rnacentral:rRNA from 1 species
AACGAACGUUGGCGGCGUGGAUUAGGCAUGCAAGUCGAACGAAUCCCACUUGGUGUAGCAAUACAUUGAGUGGGGGAAGUGGCGAAAGGGGCAGUAAUGCGUGGGUAACCUACCCUAGGGACGAGGAUAGCCAUCCUAACGGAUGGAUAAUACUCGGCGUUAUGAUCGGGAGGCAUCUUCUGGUCAUGAAAUGAAUUUCGCCCUGGGAGGGGCUCACGUCGUAUUAGCUUGUUGGCGGGGUAACGGCCCACCAAGGCGAAGAUGCGUAGCGGGUGUGAGAGCACGACCCGCGCCUCUGGCACUGAGACACUGGCCAGACACCUACGGGUGGCUGCAGUCGAGGAUCUUCGGCAAUGGGCGCAAGCCUGACCGAGCGACGCCGCGUGUGCGAUGAAGGCCUUCGGGUUGUAAAGCACUGUCGAGGGGGAGGAAAGCCGUAAGGCUUGACCUAUCCCUGGAGGAAGGACGGGCUAAGUUCGUGCCAGCCGCCGCAGUAAUAC